rnacentral:rRNA from 1 species
UCCAGACUCCUACGGGAGGCAGCAGUGGGGAAUAUUGCACAAUGGGGGAAACCCUGAUGCAGCGACGCCGCGUGAGUGAAGAAGUCAUUCGUGAUGUAAAGCUCUAUCAGCAGGGAAGAAAAUGACGGUACCUGAUUAAGAAGCCCCGGCUAACUACGUGCCAGCAGCCGCGGUAAUACGUAGGGGGCAAGCGUUAUCCGGAUUUACUGGGUGUAAAGGGAGCGUAGACGGCAGCACAAGUCUGGAGUGAAAUGCCGGGGCUUAACCCCGGAACUGCUUUUGAAACUGUUAAGCUUGAGUGCAGGAGAGGUAAGCGGAAUUCCUAGUGUAGCGGUGAAAUGCGUAGAUAUUAGGAGGAACACCAGUGGCGAAGGCGGCUUACUGGACUGUAACUGACACUGAGGCUCGAAAGCGUGGGGAGCAAACAGGAUUAGAUACCCCUGUAGA